rnacentral:lncRNA from 1 species
GGCAUCCACCAGGCGAUCCAUGACCUCCGUGGCCAGAUCUCAGGCUUCGGCCUCACCUUUAGUUUUUCAGGCUCCUCCCCCUCCUCUGGCAAUGGCAGUCGGUAUGGAGCAGUUCGACCUGCUGGUUCAGUAGGUCAGAGGCCUCACCAAAGCAGUGCAGGCCAUGCAGCAGCAGCAGCAACAGCCGCAGGUGUCAGUGC